AGCAAACACAAACAAAUAAACAAUCAUAUAAAUAUAUAAUAAAUUUUAGCAUUGUAUCCAUAUGUAUAACGCUAGCUUUCACUUUCACAUACUAACCAAUAUCUCCCUUACCUUCAAGAAUCAUGCAAAAGAGACACCAGAGCAGUAUCAAUAUCAUUGGCCCUCAGUAUCACAUACCACAUUUUGUAGAAAGGUGACGACAGCGAUUGUGAGAAAGGUGACGACAUUAACGGAUAACUUCACAGACAUUAAUGGCAAAAUCUUUUUUAAUCUUAAGCCGGCCACUCUCGUUUCCCUCUAUGAUCACCGUCUCUUACUUGACGCCGCCGGAAAAACCGUCGUCUUGACACUACAACAAAAGAAUUUGAGUCAUUAAAAACAAAAACGAGGGAAUUUUGAAAAAGGUAGAAAAGUGCACUGUGGCCAAGCAAACCGUAAAGCAACACAACACCGUAAAGCAACAGCUCGAUCUCUCGAAUCCAGGUAAAGAUUCGACAUGAUCGAUGGGAAGCAUUUCGAGUGUAUGAUGUUGGGGGAGUGAUGAUUACCAUGGAUUCUAUACGAAGUGGCAAUAGCAUCAUGGAACAUGGUUGCAGCAAUUAAGUGCUCACAUUUAUUCUUGGUAUGAAAGAUUCAAUGAAUAAAUAAAAUGGUUAUUCAUCUGCUUCAAAAGGCUUAUAUGGAACACAAUGCAUUGGCGUGUAUGGAUAAAUAAAACAAAAAUUUAAUAUGCUACUUCAUAUGUCUCUCUUUUUA